UACGUAGGGUGCGAGCGUUAAUCGGAAUUACUGGGCGUAAAGCGUGCGUAGGCGGUUCGUUAAGUUCGUUGUGAAAGCCCCGGGCUCAACCUGGGAACUGCAAUGGAAACUGGCGGGCUUGAGUGUGGCAGAGGGGGGGGGUGGAAGUUCCGCGUGUAGCAGUGAAAUGCGUAGAGAUGCGGAGGAACACCGAUGGCGAAGGCAGCCCCCCCCUGGGCCAACACUGACGCUCAGGCACGAAAGCGUGGGGAGCAAACAGG
rnacentral:rRNA from 1 species